GCUUGAUCCUCACAAAAUUAUCAUUGUUACUACAUAAUAGAACUGCAAUAAGCUCUUUUAUCAAACAUUAUGGAGACUGAAUUACUAACCACCUUCAAAAACAAUGUGUCUGCUUUAUAUCCUUUUGCCACCCGUUGAGAUUUUCCACGAAAGAUUAUUGCAUUGAAUUAGCGUAUCCUUUCAGAUCCUUUUACCGUUAAUUCCAUCAAACCAAUUUGAAUUUGGAGUAUGUAAGGUACACCUUUAUAAACCAAGUAGGAGCUGACUGAAGAACUUUU
rnacentral:lncRNA from 1 species